rnacentral:lncRNA from 1 species
UUCAAAAAUGGGUUGAAAUUAGGCGUUUGGGAUUAACAUAGACACACUAACUAUAUAUAUAACAGAUAGCCAACAAAGACCUACUGUGUAGCACAGAGAACUCUGUUCAGUAUUUUAUAGUAACCUAUAAGAGAAAAGAAUCUGAAAAAGAAUAGACAUAUAUGUGUGGAUAACUGAAUCACUUUGCUCUGAAAUUAAUAUGACAUUGUAAAGCAACUAUGCUUCAAUUUAACAAGAUAGAAAUGGGUUCAGGUUUGCUUAGCUAAAUAACCUUGAAUUUGAUUUUUUCAAUAGAUUUUAGUAUUUUAAAGUCAUAUGCUUGGAGCAUUAGAAAAAUGAAAUGCCAAAGCUGAUAUCCUGACCCGAGUUAUAAGAUGCCCAUGCUUUACCUUCAUAGCACGGCCCUCCCGGUAGUCACUGUUCACCAGCAAACGUGUUGUCAAUACACAAGGCAAUUGAAUGCACAUGUGUUUCUAUUUGACCACCUAUGUAUUUGCUCCUCUAAAGAAAAAUCAUAAUCGAAGAAGGAACCGGCAGCCUGCCCAGGACACGCCACCACCCCAAAAGCAGAAAGUCAUCUUUCUGCUGUUGAUGUCUCUAAUGUGAAGAAGCCUGCAAGCCCAGAAAGCUUAUUUCUCAGCUGAGUGACCACAGCAGAAAGCACCCACAUUCUUGUCUAAGCCCUGUAACUGCAGGCUUCUAUGGUAAGGCCAAUAUCUGCCUUCAUGCAGAACUGCCAGAGGGGUUAGGGAAACGAGAUACCAUUUCUCUGAGAAACUCUGCUCAUUUCUGUGAGCCCAUGACUGAUGGUGAUUGACAACCCUGCACACCUGCAAUCAAGGAUGCCCCGUAUUUAUCCCAGGGCAACACCUGCAGGGAGACCGGCUCUCACUCCCUGAGCGCGUCCCGCAGAAGGCUGGCAGAGUGUCUCCUGGUCCUCUCUUCCCUAAAGCUCCGGGAAGGCGGCCAGGAGCCCGGUCACCUCACCCCUGUGCGGCAGUCCUGUGCAAGCAUCUCUCUUCUGCGCUCACCUUCUGGCCGGAGGCAACAGCAGGGUCCUCUUUGUGAAGGAGACACCCAGGGGCUGAGUAUCAGGGAACAAAUGCAUUCAUCAUGGCAGGGCCCGUGUGCCAAGGCGCAAUAAAGACCAUGCUCGCCGCGGCGGGGAGCGUGGGGACCUCGCCGCAGACCACACGCGCCGGAGUCGCUCUCUGAAGUCUCAUUACUAAGUAUGUGUGUAUGUAGCGGGGGGUGA